GGUUGUAUAGUGUAGUUGGUUAUCACAUCGGAUUCUGAUGACGCCUAAAGCUCAUAGAAUGUUCCGGGGACCUGAGUUCGAAUCUCGGUACGACCU